rnacentral:lncRNA from 1 species
CUUUAUGAUAGAGAUGUACAGCAAAGACGUGCUCUUUUCUCUUUCAUUGGAUCUUGUUGUUUCCACAUGUGGUGCCUGGGAUUAUGGUAGCCAUAUGGUGUCCAAAAGAAGGGUUAGGCUGAGGAGAACACAUUUUAAAUUGCUGAAUGAAAAUAUGGACAAUCCUAAGUCCUUGGUAAGAUGUUUAAACUGCUGGGGAUUAUUUUACUUGUAUUUAAAAGAUCCUAACUGACAGGAUAUCCACAAUAAUUGUAUGUUUUAUUACACACAUGUAAAGUCAUAACCAGUAUCAUAUUGAUUUAUAUUUUUAAAAAUUUACUUAAAUGAAAGCAUAUGGUUUGUAGUGUUCUGCAAGAUUCUUUUCUCC